CAAAUUUAGACUAAUGAGAUAGUAAUUCUUUUACACGGAAUUUUAUAUUGUGCAAAUCAAUAAAAUUU
rnacentral:tRNA from 1 species